rnacentral:pre_miRNA from 1 species
AUAUAAAUUGCCUGGGGAUCUUGUUAAAGUGCAGAUUCUACAUUUGUAACAAGCUCCCACAUAAUGUAGCU